GGUCAGGCUGAAGACCUUACCCGAUUAGCUGAGAGGUGGUGCAUGGCCGUCGUCAGUUCGUACUGUGAACGCACCCUGUUAAGUCAGGCAACGAGCGAGACCCACGUCCACAGUUGCCAGCAUACCCUCCGGGGUGAUGGGUACACUGUGGAGACCGCCGCUGCUAAAGCGGAGGAAGGAGUGGGCAACGGUAGGUCAGUAUGCCCCGAAUCUCCCGGGCUACACGCGGGCUACAAUGGUUGGUACAAUGGGCAUCUACCCCGAAAGGGGAAGGAAAUCUCUUAAAGCCAAUCGUAGUCCGGAUUGAGGGCUGCAACUCGCCCUCAUGAAGCUGGAAUCCGUAGUAAUCGCGUUUCAACAGAACGCGGUGAAUACGUCCCUGCUCCUU
rnacentral:rRNA from 1 species